GGGGAUGUAGCUCAAUUGGUAGAGCGCUAUGCUAAAGCAAAGUAAGAGGCACAAGGUUUGAUUCCUCGCAUCACCC
rnacentral:tRNA from 1 species